GUGGGGAAUAUUGGGCAAUGGGCGAAAGCCUGACCCAGCAACGCCGCGUGAGGGAAGAAGGCCUUCGGGUUGUAAACCUCUGUCCUUGGUGACGAAAAAAAUGACGGUAGCCAAGGAGGAAGCCCCGGCUAACUACGUGCCAGCAGCCGCGGUAAUACGUAUGGUGCGAGCGUUGUCCGGACUUACUGGGCGUAACGGGUGCGUAGGUGGCCUUUUAAGUUGGAUGUGAAAUCCCCUGGCUUAACUGGGGGGGUGCAUCUAAUACUGGAGGGCUAGAGUGCAGGAGAGGGAAGCGGAAUUCCUAGUGUAGCGGUGAAAUGCGUAGAUAUUAGGAGGAACACCAGUGGCGAAGGCGGCUUUCUGGACUGUAACUGACACUGAGGCACGAAAGCGUGGGGAGCAAACAGGAUUAGAUACCCGUGUAGUCC
rnacentral:rRNA from 1 species